UUUCAAACUAGGGCAGAUAAUAAAACAACCAUUACAUCUCUUUCAUUGCAAACUAUUGUCUCAUUCUUCCAUUUCUUAAUUUAUUAACCUUUCCAACUGCAGCGUUUCCCCAACAGGUAGUCUUUUAAUACAGCAAAUUUAAAGAGGAAAAACUUGACAUAUCAAGAAAAUUAUUAGGACCAAUAUUCCAAUCUGAGGGAUUCUAGACCACUUCCUAACCUAUUGUUGUGUUUAUUAUUUCUGGCAAGCUGUCAGUGCAACACUCAAAAAAGUUUAUGUUCUGUCUUGCUAAGAUAUGGCUUCCCAUGAAAUACACAUUAUCAGGUAUGCGUUAAAUGCAUUAAUUUAGUUUAUGAAUUUUAAUUUUAUUAAUUUGAUUCAUGCUACUGAGAAAGUCGGAUGCUACAUGGGAGAUCAGCAAGGUACAACACCAGUUUCAACAGCUGCAGUGAAGUCAAUGGUUGAAGCCUGGUGUCAUGAUAAAAUCAUGGGAUUGGCGUGGUAUUCAACUACAUUUUACUCAUAGCAGGCACGCAGAAAUCAAUAAACAUAAGGUCAAUGGGUUUACUCUGAGUAAAACUUAUUGCAAAGGCAGAAAAGCUUUUUCAACCCAAUGACUGCAUUAUGCUGGGGGCCCAUGCCAGUGAUAGAUGGGAGCAAAAGUGGCCUGAGCAGUAAAUGUGGCUUACCUUUAUAGAGUAGACUACAUUCUAGCUACACAAAAACCAGAGCUUUCACCCACCACCAAGGCAAGUUAAGAGACAUUGCCACUUGAAGAGGGGCAGGACCAGUGAGAGGUAUGGCCUACUGAGAGUCUUGAGGGCCAUGUAAAGAAAUCCCAAAGCCUGAGCUUCCCAACCCCGAGUUUAUUAUGAUGGGGAAAAGCCUAGUCUCCCCCCCCCCCCAGGUCUUGUGUUGCCCUUCACCUGCUCUGGUAUGGCUUCAAGGUGUUUAGAAGGUUUCAGUGUGAUUUUUGGAUUAAUUACAGCUUCUCGAGUCAUCAAAACCUGACAAACAGUGGUUAAAUGUAACAAGUUUGUUUGUUUGGAAUGUCAGCUUUCAGCCACGGUUCAUAAAACUGGUUUGUUUCAACAAACCUCAGUUAAGAUGAAUAACAGCUUGGAUGACAUACUAAGCUAUGGUUAAACAAAAGGUGAAGGUGAAAGCUUCUAAUUGUGGUUGCAUGGAAGACAGGAGAGGCAUGGUGCUUGUUCCAGAAUGGUAGCCAAUAUCCCCAUCCCAGCCAAAGUCUAGAGUUACUAUUGCAGUUUACGAACGGUUCUUACUUGACUCAUAGGCUAAAUAGAUCUUCACAAUACUGUAACUGCAUGCAAACGAUUAAUGUUCCCAGCUUGGUCAAAGGAAUCACACAGUCAAAAACAUAUUAACUUUAAUUGCCAUUUUGGUUAUUAUAACACAGUUGGAAUCAUGUUAAAUUGCUUUGAAUUUGCAUGCCAUCUUGGGUCUCAGAACCUGAAACCUAAGAACGAAUCUCCCCCUUCUUGUAUUAUGCUUAAAUGAAGCACCUAACUGCAAAGCCAUUUCUGCAUAUUAAAGCAAAAGGUUAUAUGUAUCCAAUCUGGCAGCGUAUGCACAUGCAGCCUUUCUGUAUUUAAGAUUAACCAAACUGCCUUAUAAAGCCACAGGCUAAUUGAUGUAUCAUACAGACAACAUAUUGAGUACUCAAAUUAGUCUGGCACAGAGCGGUGAACUGCUCUGCAGUCAUUCCAAGGGUAUUAUCCAUAUUUACAAUGAGGCUACUGCUUGAAGAAGUGGAUUUUGGCUGUACCAAAUCUGUUGAGGAUCCUUUACGGGUAUGAUAUUCUGAUAAAUGGCAGCAGGAUGCACUACAUUUGCUGCACAAUAGUAACCAGUGACCUGGCAAAAUCCUAGGUGAGUUAGCACCAUAAUAAAUCCAUAGGGUUU